CUGCCUCAGCUUCCUAAAGUGCUGGGAUUACAGCUGUGAGCCACUGCCCCCAGCCUCCACUAAACUUCUGUUGUUUAUCUGAAAAUCAAAUGUAACUGGAUGUGAUCACAUCUUACUGCAAUCAUGGCUCACUGCAGCCUCAAUCUCCUGGGCUCAAGUGAUCCUCUGGCCUCAGCCUCCUGUACAACUGAGACUACAGAUGCGUGGUGCCACACCCAGCUAAUUUUCUUAUUUUUUGUAGAGACGGGGUCUCGCCAUGUUAGCCCAGCCGGUCUCAAACUCCUGGGCUCAAAUGAUCCUCCCACUUCAGCCUCUCAAAGUGCUGUGAUUACAGGCAUGAGCCAUACAGCCAGCCUAAACAAUUUUUAAUGAGGACCUCCACUCAUACCUUACACAUUAAAAAAUUAACUCAAAUAUGCUGUCAGGAGAAUCAAAAGACACAGACCAGGAAACGACAUUUGCAAAUGGCCACGUCUGGCAAUGUUUCUUCCAUUUUAGUGUAGUAGGACGUCGUUGAUUUUCCUGAUGGCUACUCAUGUUUGACCACUUUUCCCAUGUGCCUGUUAACUGUCAGCAUGCCCUCUUCUGGAAUGUGCCUGUUAAAAAUCUUUGCUUUUGUUAAAAAUUGGGUUGUCUACGCCAGGCGUGAGCCAGUGCCUGGCCGAAAAACAGCAUUUUUAAAAGGAUUAUGUACCAUAACCCAGUGGGAUUUAUCCCAGGAAUGCAAGGGUGAACGAACAGACGAAAUUCAAUGUCAUACACCACAUUAACAGAAUGAAGAAAAACCCACGCGAUCAUCCCAACUGAUGCAGAAAAAACCAUUUCAUAAAAUUCAAAACCCUUUCAUGAUAAUAAGACUCAAUAAACUAGGAAUAGAAACAAACUUCAUCAGGCCGGGCGCCGUGACUCAUGCCUGUAAUCCCAGCACUUCGGAAGGCCGAGGCGGGUGGAUCACUUGAGAUCAGGAGUUCAAGACCAGAUGCCCAACAUGUUGAAAUCCCAUCUCCACUAAAAAUACAAAAAUUAAAAUUAGCUGGGCAUGGUGGCGCACGCCUACAGUCCCAGCUACUCAGGAGGCUGAGACACGAGAAUUACGUGAAUCCAGGAGGUGGAGGCUGCAGUGAGACGAGAUCGCACCACUGCACUCCACCCUGAAUGACAGAGGGGGACUGUCUCAAACAAACAAACAAAAUACAAACACAGCUAACAUCAUACUCAAUGGUGAGAAACAAAAAGCCUUUGAAAGAGACAAGGAUGCCCACUGCUGCUGCUUCUGUUCAACAUUGUUCUGGACAUUCUAGCAAGAGCAUUACUCAAGAAAAAGAAAUUAAAGGUAUCCAAAAUUGGAAAAGAAAACUAUUUCUACUUGCAGAUGACAUGGUCUUAUGUAUAGAAGAUCCUCCACAACAGGCCAGGCUUGGUGGCUCAAGCCUGUAAUCCC
rnacentral:lncRNA from 1 species